AAAAUGUCUAAUUUGACAAAGUGUGAAUGUGAAGAAGAUGAAUGCUAAUCAUUUUCAUUUGAUUAAAUUCUCAAAUAUUUUAAUUAUCUUCAAGCAGCUGUAAUCUAAAUUAUAAAGAAAAUUAUUAUCAUGAUGUCAGAUUGGGGUAUUGCGGCUGUUGACAAUAAUUAUGUUCAAAUUUUAUGAGGGAUUAAGAAGACGGGCAUAGCCCUUAUUUCUGAACUGAAGCUGAUGUCAAUAUAGGUUCUAAGAUCUUAAUUGGUCUGAACUAGGUUUAGUUUAUCCAUAUUCUCUAGUCAAGCAAACAAAGAAGAAGAAAAUCGUAUCCCUGUUUUUAGAUUUUGAUAUAAAUACGAGAGGCGCAGAGAUAAAAAAGUUUGUCUCCAAUGUAAGGGAUUACUUUGAUGACUAUGGAUUACAAUAAGAAAAGAAGAUUGUUGAGAACUGGAUUGAAUGUAACAUGUUAUAACAGUUCAAAUAUAGAUUUUAAAUAAAAUUUGUACUAUAAAAAUAUUUUGUUUGUUUGGGUA